rnacentral:rRNA from 1 species
GAGUUUGAUCAUGGCUCAGACUGAACGCUGGCGGCAGGCCUAACACAUGCAAGUCGAGCGGAUGACGGGAGCUUGCUCCUUGAUUCAGCGGCGGACGGGUGAGUAAUGCCUAGGAAUCUGCCUGGUAGUGGGGGACAACGUUUCGAAAGGAGCGCUAAUACCGCAUACGUCCUACGGGAGAAAGCAGGGGACCUUCGGGCCUUGCGCUAUCAGAUGAGCCUAGGUCGGAUUAGCUAGUUGGUGGGUAAUGGCUCACCAAGGCGACGAUCCGUAACUGGUCUGAGAGGAUGAUCAGUCACACUGGAACUGAGACACGGUCCAGACUCCUACGGGAGGCAGCAGUGGGGAAUAUUGGACAAUGGGCGAAAGCCUGAUCCAGCCAUGCCGCGUGUGUGAAGAAGGUCUUCGGAUUGUAAAGCACUUUAAGUUGGGAGGAAGGGCAGUAAGUUAAUACCUUGCUGUUUGACGUUACCGACAGAAUAAGCACCGGCUAACUCUGU